rnacentral:piRNA from 1 species
UGUAAGAAUUUGGUGGAUCAGGUUUCUGGU